AUUAAAUAUGAAACUCCUGUUAAUACGGGUGUUGCUUCAGGACUCAAAAUCUGGAGUAGAAUGAAUCAAUUUGAGUGAGAUUGGGCUGAAGCAAUCUUUGCGAUCUGACGAAAACUUCUCCAAUCUACAAAAUCAGUCAAGAAAUCGGAUAAAGAUCCUCUAGUUCUUAACCCUCUGAUGUUUAAGUCAGUUCGAGACUUGAGAACAGAGGUAGAAAAG
rnacentral:lncRNA from 1 species